rnacentral:rRNA from 1 species
GACGAACGCUGGCGGCGUGCUUAACACAUGCAAGUCGAGCGAUGAAGCACCUUCGGGUGUGGAUUAGCGGCGUACGGGUAAGGAACACGUGAGGAAUCUGCCUUCCACUCUGGGAUAACUCCGGGAAACCGGGGCUAAUACCGGAUAUUUUCAACUGGCGGCAUCGCCGGUUGAAGAAAGUUUUUCGGUGGAAGAUGACCUCGCGGCCUAUCAGCUUGUUGGUGGGGUAAAGGCUCACCAAGGCGACGACGGGUAGCCGGCCUGAGAGGGUGACCGGCCACACUGGGACUGAGACACGGCCCAGACUCCUACGGGAGGCAGCAGUGGGGAAUAUUGGGCAAUGGAGGAAACUCUGACCCAGCGACGCCGCGUGAGGGAUGAAGGCCUUCGGGUUGUAAACCUCUUUCAGCAGGGAAUAAGCGAAAGUGAAGGUACCUGCAGAAGAAGCACCGGCUAACUAUGUGCCAGCCGCCGCGGUAA